GACGAACGCUGGCGGCGUGCUUAACACAUGCAAGUCGAACGGAAAGGCCCUGCUUUUGUGGGGUGCUCGAGUGGCGAACGGGUGAGUAACACGUGAGUAACCUGCCCUUGACUUUGGGAUAACUUCAGGAAACUGGGGCUAAUACCGGAUAGGAGCUCCUGCUGCAUGGUGGGGGUUGGAAAGUUUCGGCGGUUGGGGAUGGACUCGCGGCUUAUCAGCUUGUUGGUGGGGUAGUGGCUUACCAAGGCUUUGACGGGUAGCCGGCCUGAGAGGGUGACCGGCCACAUUGGGACUGAGAUAGGGCCCAGACUCCUACGGGAGGCAGCAGUGGGGAAUAUUGCACAAUGGGCGGAAGCCUGAUGCAGCAACGCCGCGUGCGGGAUGACGGCCUGCGGGUUGUAAACCGCUGUCGCCUGUGACGAAGCGUGAGUGACGGUAAUGGGUAAAGAAGCACCGGCUAACUACGUG
rnacentral:rRNA from 1 species